rnacentral:rRNA from 1 species
CAAGGAGGAAGCCGCCCAAGGUAGGAUUGAUGAUUAGGGUGAAGUCGUAACAAGGUAUCCGUACGAGAACGUGCGGAUGGAUCACCUCCUUUCUAUGGA